GCGGGUGUAGCUCAAUGGUAGAGCACCGGCCUUCCAAGCCGGGUACGGGGGUUCGAUUCCCCUCACCCGCU
rnacentral:tRNA from 1 species